rnacentral:rRNA from 1 species
GGACUACUGGGGUAUCUAAUCCUGUUCGCUCCCCACGCUUUCGCUCCUCAGCGUCAGUAUCGGCCCAGAGACCCGCCUUCGCCACCGGUGUUCCUCCUGAUAUCUGCGCAUUUCACCGCUACACCAGGAAUUCCAGUCUCCCCUACCGAACUCUAGCCCGCCCGUAUCGACCGCAAGCCCGAAGUUGAGCCCCGGGUUUUCACGGUCGACGCAACAAGCCGCCUACGAGCUCUUUACGCCCAAUAAAUCCGGACAACGCUCGCGCCCUACGUCUUACCGCGGCUGCUGGCAC